rnacentral:misc_RNA from 1 species
ACGAUGGCGUUGCCGUCGCUUCUAUAUGUGAUACUUGGCGUCUCCGUCCCCGUUAUAGCCGAAAUCGAAAUGGAGUUCACCAAGUAUCCCGAGUCAGUGACAGCGCCGGUCGGAGACGAGGUGACCUUCGAGUGUGCGGUCCGAGUCCCAGGGGAGAGGCUCACUUGGCGCUGGCGGGCUGAUGAUGACCAGGAGUGGAGGGACUGGAACAAUGUGGACGGCAUCAAUGACAAGGACGGCGUUACCACCCGGCUGGUGGUGCAAGUGAGAGAGAACACCCCCACUUCUUUGUAUCAGUGUAUGGCUUGGUAUGGCUCGAUAAUUCUUGUAUCGAUCCCGGCGCGCCUCACCAUCGCCAAGAUCGAUCUCAGCAGGAACUCCCCGGAAAGGCGGGUCAUCUUAGCGCCUCUGCAUAACUCCGUGGUCUUACACUGUAAGGAGCCGAGGUCAGAACCGCCUGCGAAACUGAGCUGGUGGAAGGAAACAACAAAGGGUUCAAGAAAACAGCUCGACACACCUCACGGAGUCCUCGUCAUCAACAACGCGACAGUAGAAGACAGCGGAACUUACGGCUGUACCGCCAUCAAUGACAUCAGCGAACAGACCGCUGACUUGCCUGAGAGGACUUACUUGAAGGUGCAGCAUGAGGGACACGGAGGGUUCAGAUUCUUGGAAACGGAAGAUUACGUGGGAACAAUUGACAAAGGUCGAGUAUUGACUAUGCCUGUAAUGCCGGACAACUCUUUGAGGCUCUGGUGCGGCGCGGUGGGCACUCCUCAGCCAAGAGUCGUGUGGAGUAGAGGCACGGACACCAAUCUACCUGGUCACACCAACAGCCUGGUUAUAGAGAACUUUACUGGAGAACAUGAGGGCGUAUACUCCUGCUCGGCCAACGCUCUGCGUCGAUCGUGGAAGGUUGUAGCGCUGCAGCCUCCGCACUGGGAAGGCUCGGCCAACAGCGUCAACGCCAGCGAAGGCCUGAGCGCCCGCAUCUCCUGCGGCGUGCCACAUGGACAACCAGCGCCGGUGGUGCAUUGGAUGUUUAAUGCUGAACUGGUCAAAACUGGAAAGGGCAUAAAGGCUACAGACUCGGAUCUGUACAUCGAGCGCGUGGAGAAGCGGCACGCGGGCGUGGUGCAGUGUUUCGCGUGCAACUCGCUCGGCUGCGCCUACGACGCCGCCAUGCUCACUGUCGUGCCGGUGCAGAUAUCUGAUCAGGACUAUUCCGCGGAAACGCCGAAGAUUCACAUACCUUCGCAGUCUCCCAAACGGCACAAUAAGAAAAAUCCCAGGAAACAUAAAGCGGUUUUGAUACCACCGUCGCGGCCCAAUGUGACGAGACUGUCGGACAAGAGUGUGAUGGUGUCGUGGUCCCAUGAUAACCACGGUCUGCCGAUACAGUUCUUCAAAGUGCAGUACAGGGAAGUGACCAACUCGUCCAACAUCCAGUGGCACACUGAAAGCACCGACAUACCGACGCAUAUACAUUCCUUUGAAAUAGACGGACUCUACCCCGACAAGUACUACAAGUUUCGUAUAGCAGCGGUGUACUCGAAUCAGGACAACAAGUUGGGACGUAGUAGCGGAAAGUUCUUCCUGCAACGUGGCGGCACGCAGAGUCCGAGAGCGCCCACGCUGGACAAGGCUACGUCUUUGUCGCCGCACAGCAUACAACUUAACUGGACGUGGUCGGCCCACGGCGGCGUAGAGGCGGAGGGUUUCUACGUGUACUACCGCGCUGUGUCGUGGGCGGGCGCCUACGAGAAGGUGACGGCGGCCGGCCACCAGCGCAGCAUGGUCAUGGCGCACCUGGCGCCCGACACGGCCUACGAGCUCAAGAUACAGGCCUACACUGCGCAGGCGCCCUCGGACUUCAGCGCCAUACUGAUCGCGAAGACUCAACGCGCGUUGAACGCCCCAAGUACAAGUACCGAGGCACCAGCUAAAGAGGAGGAGAGUGCGCCCGGCACUCUGGUGACGGCAGGCGGCGCGGCGGGCGCGGCUGCUCUGCUGCUCAUACUGGCCGGCACCUUCCUGCUGUGCCGGCGCGCUAAGAGACCGCACGCCGACAGUGAGUACUGAGAUGAUGACGAGGAGAGCGGGCCGGCACGCUGGUGACGGCGGGCGCGGCUGCUCUGCUGCUCAUACUGGCCGGCACCUUCCUGCUGUGCCGGCGCGCUAAGAGACCGCACGCUGACAAAGAGAAAGGGCCCGGACCGGAAGGUGGCACUAAUAACGGAUACCUGCCCGCUAAAGUGCCGAUCACCAUCACGGCGAAUCCUAUGCAUGGAGAGGGCGGUGACAGUAGUGUGGAAAUGUCCUUCCUUCAUAACAACAAUUGUGGAAACAAUGCCAAUAGCGACGACACAUUACCACAUUCAAGGAAGAACGGACCAUCACGACAAUAUGUGUGAACAAAGAUGCUCAAUAUGAACUGUAUUGCGUAGAUGAUAAAGUUCAUUUUUAAAUAUGCAGCUCAGUGUUGCCAGUGUGAAUAAUUUUCUACCAAUAUGGUAGUAUUAAAAUAAAUUUUAAAAUGCAAUUGUGAUAACUUUACCGGCCGAAGUGCGUGGACUUUUGAGAGUACAAAAGGAUAUUUAUUUAUAUUUUAGAAAUAUUUUGUUCGAGUGUGGGUUGGGUGACUAAUGACUAUGCAUUUAUGUGCGUUUAUUAGACGUAUUUAAAAUAUGAUCAGUAUAUAAAUAAGGAUUUUUUGAUGUAAGCAUAAUAGUUCUUGGGUCUAAGAAUAAAAUAUUUAUUCAUAACUAUAAAACUUUAUGUAUGUGAUGUCGGAUACUCCAAAGUUUCGGAGACGGCUUCGAAGACGACACCGUUUCAAUGUUUGUUAUCACUAAACAUACAUUUAUUGUCACUACCAGCUAAUAUUACCAUACAAUUUGCAAAUAAAUAAAUUGAAUUGGAUUGUUGCCUUCGGUGAGUGCGCGCAGGAACUUGCCAAUUUUAAAGAAAAAGAAAGAAGAAAAAAAAUCCUUUUUAGAAAAAAGAUCUUGUUCCUCUUUCUUCUUCCUAUCACAGAACAACAAGAGAGUUGCUAAGUUCGCGGCGUCUUGCUGUUCUGAUAUGUUCUGUACAUCAUUAUGUUGUUGAUAUCCAGGCAACUCGAGCUAACGCAAAAAUUGGAAUGACCUUCCGGGGUUUGUUUCCUGACAUUUACAAUUCAAACACCUUCAAAGCAAUAGUGGUAGGCAUAUUCUAGGUAAGCGCGCUCUACAUAAUCCAAAUAUCACAUACACAAAGUUUGAGCAGAUGGUCAUGAAUAAAUAUUUUGUCGUAAGGACUAUAAGAUAGUAUGUAAUGUUAUAUAGAAUAAAGUAGGACACCUUUUUAUUAUAUUUUUAACGCUUAUUUAAUGUAAAUAUUUGACUUAAUUCUAAGUUCCAUUCCCAGUUAAAUAAUGAGUGAAUUAAACUUAAAUAACUUAAGCUAUAGUUAAGUAUCGAUAUUUAAUAAAAUAAGACAAAAUAGAUCUGUUCACUCAUACUCAAAAUGUUGCCAUUUAAAAAAAACAUUUAACUACCAAUAUUUUGUAUUAUUUAAAACUUCUUUGAUAUCAUAGAAUUGGGCAAUGUACUUAAUAAAAUUAUCUUUAUGUUUAACUAUAAGAUAUUGUACUUGGAUAAUUUAAUUAAAGCAGAACUAUCAUUUUUGAAUACAAUACAUAUUUCUGUUUUAGGUUCACUUUAACUAGUAAGUCUAGGUAAUUUGCUUACUUUUAAAAAUUUAAAAUGCCUAACUUGUUUGAUACUAUCAAACGCGAUAUUAUUUAGAUCUGAUCACGAGGGCCUGGAUUCGAAUCCCGGAUUAAACUGAACAUAUCAUUUCAUUUGCUUAGGUACUUGAGUGAAAUUUGCGUUGUGUGUAGUACGAUGUUGCUUGUUUACGUUUUUAUUUAUUUUCUGUUUUUACAACAUUUGUAGUUAUAGUCGGAUGCAAUCUUUAUGACGUCACCGAAAUGAUGCGGGUGUCCUUACGCUAAAAUGCGGGGGUGUUGUCCUACCGCCGCGCUCCUACAAUACCGAUGAUACCUAAAAUCUUGUAUUGCGCUGCUUAAUGCACGAAGUUCGGGAACAUCAUAUAGAUUGUAAAUGUCAUCCGAUUAUACUUGUUUGUGUUUUUUUUUUAAUUUAAAAAAAAAAAUUAACUGAUGUCAGAGAGUAUUGCAAACGACAGACUGAACUUGUGUAAAGGUAAUAUAAAUAAAGUGCUAAUUUAACGU